rnacentral:rRNA from 1 species
AUUGAACGCUGGCGGCAGGCCUAACACAUGCAAGUCGAACGAGUGGCGGACGGGUGAGUAAUGUCUGGGAAACUGCCUGAUGGAGGGGGAUAACUACUGGAAACGGUAGCUAAUACCGCAUACCAUCAGAUGUGCCCAGGUGGGAUUAGCUAGUUGGUGGGGUAACGGCGAACCAAGGCGACGCUCCCUAGCUGGUCUGAGAGGAGGACCGGCCACACUGGAACUGAGACACGGUCCAGAUGCUUAGGGGAGGCAGCAGUGGGGAAUAUUGGACAAUGGGCGCAAGCCUGAUGCAGCAAUGCGGAGGGUAGGAAGAAGGCCUUCGGGUUGUAAAGUACUUUCAGCGGGGAGGCGUUACCCGCAGAAGAAGCACCGGCUAACUCCGUGCCAGCAGCCGCGGUAAUUC